UUAUUUCUAAAUAAUACUUCAGGGCCUUAACUAAGACCCGUCGUACAAUUUUUGGGCGCCCUUUCCUUCACAGGACUGGGUG
rfam:Caenorhabditis remanei strain PB4641 contig0.39, whole genome shotgun sequence.